rnacentral:tRNA from 1 species
GGUCUUGUAUUCAUUUUGUGAUAGUAGAAUGCAAUUCUACAGGGAUGGUAAACUGCCAUUAAGGCCU